rnacentral:pre_miRNA from 1 species
UAGAUACUCCCUCCGUCCAACAAAAGAUGUCUUAAGUUUGUCAAAAUUUGGAUGUAUCUAGACAUGACUUAGUAUAUAGAUGCAUUCAAAAUUUAGUCAAAAUUGAGACAUCCUUUGUUGACAUGACUUAGUAUAUA